AUACUUACCUGGCAGGGGAGAUAACAUGAUCAAGAAGGUGCUUCUCCCAGGGUGAGGCUCAGCCUUUGCACUUGAGUUCAGCUGACCCCUGCGAAUUCCCAAAAUGUGUAUCGUGACUGCGUAAUUUCUGGGAUUGCAUUCACACGCUCUCCCCUU